UGGGGAAUAUUGCACAAUGGGCGCAAGCCUGAUGCAGCCAUGCCGCGUGUAUGAAGAAGGCCUUCGGGUUGUAAAGUACUUUCAGCGGGGAGGAAGGUGUUGAGGUUAAUAACCUCAGCAAUUGACGUUACCCGCAGAAGAAGCACCGGCUAACUCCGUGCCAGCAGCCGCGGUAAUACGGAGGGUGCAAGCGUUAAUCGGAAUUACUGGGCGUAAAGCGCACGCAGGCGGUCUGUGAAGUCGGAUGUGAAAUCCCCGGGCUCAAACUGGGAACUGCAUUCGAAACUGGCAGGCUAGAGUCUUGUAGAGGGGGGUAGAAUUCCAGGUGUAGCGGUGAAAUGCGUAGAGAUCUGGAGGAAUACCGGUGGCGAAGGCGGCCCCCUGGACAAAGACUGACGCUCAGGUGCGAAAGCGUGGGGAGCAAACA
rnacentral:rRNA from 1 species